rnacentral:rRNA from 1 species
AGAACCUACGGGGGGCAGCAGUGGGGAAUAUUGGGCAAUGGGCGCAAGCCUGACCCAGCAACGCCGCGUGAAGGAAGAAGGCUUUCGGGUUGUAAACUUCUUUUAUCAGGGACGAAGAAAGUGACGGUACCUGAGGAAUAAGCCACGGCUAACUACGUGCCAGCAGCCGCGGUAAUACGUAGGUGGCAAGCGUUAUCCGGAUUUACUGGGUGUAAAAGGCGUGUAGGCGGGAAAGCAAGUCAGAUGUGAAAACCAUGGGCUCAACCUGUGGCCUGCAUUUGAAACUGUUUUUCUUGAGUACUGGG